CAAACUUGCCCAAUAGCCUUUCACCUCUGGAGAGCUGGAGUCAAUUCCGGCGAAUCCGGUCCCGCCGUGCAUCAUGGCAAAGUGAGACUGUUGUCUUGCCACCUGGUUCAGCUUGGCCAGAUCGAGCGGAGAAAUGAGGAAGACAAACAUAAAGAUGAAGUGCUUAAUUCAAGGUCACACAAUGUCGGGGAUGGACCUCCAGAUUUCCUUACUGACCUGCAUUAUCUUGUGGAUACCUGAGUGAAUUCCACACCACCCAUUUUAUAGAUGAAACCACUGAGACAUGGAGCAAUUGACUGAGUAGUCACUGCCCCACCCCUGCCUGGAGCCUCACACAUGACUCGCCUCCUCUCAGUGACCACAGGUGAGACGUGGUCUUGUAACACAGUGGUUAAGAAUGUGACUUUGGAGCCAGCCUGCUAGGGGCUGAAUUCUGACUCAGCCAUUUACUAACUGUGUGACCUUAGGUCACAGAAUUUUCCACACUCCUUGACAGAGGUGCUUAACCCUUAUCCAUCAGCAUUCUCAGACAGCACCUCCGGUUAGGGACAGU
rnacentral:lncRNA from 1 species